rnacentral:lncRNA from 1 species
AAAGCCAAUUUGCAUAAAAAAUCUAUUAGUUUUGAGUUUUUACAAAAAUAGGCCGUCUUUUUAGAUUUUACAGAUUCGGACCGAAUUUUUAAAAGGAUGACCAAACUACCCUUUUUCAAAAUACAUAAAAAUUAUAUGCUUUAAAUACCCAGAAAAAUACAACUGCUAAGCUAUUAAGUGUAAAAUUUUUUUAAAAUAACAAUUUCUUGAAAAUUACAAUUGCUAAGUCAUAAGUAUAUGUACCUUUCUCGUGAAACGAAAAUUCUCAUUCAAGAUAAAAUAAAAAAAUAAAAAAAUAAUUAAUAAGAUGAAAGAGUGCAAUAUCCUCUCAAAUAGUGCAACAUGCUCUUCCAAAUAGUACAAUAUCUAUAUAAAUAGUGCAACAUAUACAUUGUUAAUACACAUUUUGUAUAGUUUUUAUACUAAAUUACGUACAGUUUAGUAUAUUACGUGAAAAUAACAUAAUAUAUUACAACAUACUAUAAAAAUUAUGGCUUAGCAGUUAUCAUUUUCAAGAAAUUUGGCACUAUAUUUAAUAUGCAAUCAAAUUUAAUUUUCAAAGAGAAAGAGUGCAACACACAUCUAAAUUGUGCAAUAUCCUCUCAUAAUAGUGCAACAUUUACAUAAAUUGUGUAAAUAUCUGUACAAAUAGUAUAAAAUAUACACCGUUUGUACAUAUAUUGUAUAAUUUUUAUAGUAUGUUGUAAUAUAUUAUAUUAUUUUCGCACAAUAUAUUAAAUGUACGUAAUUUAGUGUAAAAUUAUGCAAAAUGU